GACGAACGCUGGCGGCGUGCUUAACACAUGCAAGUCGAACGGAAAGGCCCUGCUUUUGUGGGGUGCUCGAGUGGCGAACGGGUGAGUAACACGUGAGUAACCUGCCCUUGACUUUGGGAUAACUUCAGGAAACUGGGGCUAAUACCGGAUAGGAUCUCCUGCUGCAUGGUGGGGGUUGGAAAGUUUCGGCGGUUGGGGAUGGACUCGCGGCUUAUCAGCUUGUUGGUGGGGUAGUGGCUUACCAAGGCUUUGACGGGUAGCCGGCCUGAGAGGGUGACCGGCCACAUGGGGACUGCGAUACGGCCCAGACUCCUACGGGAGGCAGCAGUGGGGAAUAUUGCACAAUGGGCGGAAGCCUGAUGCAGCAACGCCGCGUGCGGGAUGACGGCCUUCGGGUUGUAAACCGCUUUCGCCUGUGACGAAGCGUGAGUGACGGUAAUGGGUAAAGAAGCACCGGCUAACUACGUG
rnacentral:rRNA from 1 species